rnacentral:rRNA from 1 species
AUUGAACGCUGGCGGCAGGCUUAACACAUGCAAGUCGAGCGGAGUGAUGGUGCUUGCACUAUCACUUAGCGGCGGACGGGUGAGUAAUGCUUAGGAAUCUGCCUAUUAGUGGGGGACAACAUCUCGAAAGGGAUGCUAAUACCGCAUACGUCCUACGAGAGAAAGCAGGGGAUCACUUGUGACCUUGCGCUGAUAGAUGAGCCUAAGUCGGAUUAGCUAGUUGGUGGGGUAAAGGCCUACCAAGGCGACGAUCUGUAGCGGGUCUGAGAGGAUGAUCCGCCACACUGGGACUGAGGCACGGCCCAGACUCCUACGGGAGGCAGCAGUGGGGAAUAUUGGACAAUGGGGGGAACCCUGAUCCAGCCAUGCCGCGUGUGUGAAGAAGGCCUUAUGGUUGUAAAGCACUUUAAGCGAGGAGGAGGCUCUUUUGGUUAAUACCCAAGAUGAGUGGACGUUACUCGCAGAAUAAGCACCGGCUAACUCUGUGCCAGCCGCCGCAGUAAGAC